GGAGCAGUGAAGAACUAUUUCCUGUAGUGCUUUAUCCUACUUAACUGUGAAUAUAACCUGGAUAGCGCAUCAGGCAUGAGGCACCAUUGCCGGGCCCUGGAUAGAACUAAACCAAUAAUUCUCAGAUCUCUUUAAUACCGACUCUGUUAUAUUGUACUCUCCCAAGUGCUUUGUACAGUGCUCUGCACACAGUAGGUGCUCAAUAAAAGCAAUCGAUCGAAUCGAUUUGGUAAGCUAUUCUUUCCAUUCUCUAAACUACUGCCAGGUAGAAUAGACAUCGGUUAAAACGUUUCUCUCACGUCAUUCUCUUGUUUCUUUUCUUUUUUUUCUUCUUUCAUUUAGGAAGCUGCCUAAGAGAUUUUGUGAAUGUCGAUACUGAAUUCUCAAGGAUUAAGGCUCAGCAAAGCUGCUGUGAAGUAAUUCAGAAGGACCUACCCUAUGGAUUGGCAGCACAGAGCUAUGCUACGGUGGAAACACAACAGUUCCGGACCAUCUGAAGAGGAUGUAACAGGGCUUUAGAAAACUUCCGUUUCAGGAUGACAGCUACUGAACUGAAGGCCGAUGACCCAGAGGCUAUUUGAGUUCUUGCUGACCAGUUCGUUUCUGAAAGUAUUCCAUUCUUGAAGGCAGCCUCAGUCUGAUACAUGGGUUUCAAAUUUCUGUAAAACUCACCAGAAUAAAGAAUACAAA
rnacentral:lncRNA from 1 species